rnacentral:tRNA from 1 species
UCCCUGAUGGCUCAGGGGUAAAGAAUCUGCCUGCAAUGCAGGAGACCCAGGUUCGAUCUCUGGAUUGGGAA